rnacentral:rRNA from 1 species
ACGCUCGACACCUACGGGAGGUAGCAGUGGGGAAUAUUGGGCAAUGGGCGAAAGCCUGACCCAGCAACGCCGCGUGAGGGAAGAAGGUUUUCGGAUUGUAAACCUCUGUCCUCAGGGACGAAGGACGUGACGGUACCUGAGGAGGAAGCCCCGGCUAACUACGUGUCAGCAGCCGCGGUAAUCUGAGCGGGCUGGCAAGGC